rnacentral:rRNA from 1 species
AACGAACGCUGGCGGCGUGCCUAACACAUGCAAGUCGAGCGAGAAAGUGGCUUCGGCCAUGAGUACAGCGGCGCACGGGUGAGUAACACGUGGAUAAUCUGCCUCACGGGUCGGAAUAACCUGCCGAAAGGCGGGCUAAUGCCGGAUACGUUUCCCUGGGAUGCGUCCUGGGGAAAGAAAGGAUGCUCGCAAGGGUGUCACCGUGAGAUGAGUCCGCGGCCCAUCAGGUAGUUGGCGGGGUAAUGGCCCACCAAGCCAAAGACGGGUAGCUGGUCUGAGAGGAUGAUCAGCCACAGUGGACCUGAGACACGGUCCAGACUCCUACGGGAGGCAGCAGUGGGGAAUUUUGGUCAAGGGGCGGAAGCCUGAACCAGCAACGCCGCGGGGGUGAUGAAGGCCUUCGGGUUGUAAAGCCCUGUCGGGAGGGACGAAACCUCGGAUUAACAAACCGAGCUGACGGUACCUUCAAAGGAAGCACCGGCUAACUCUGUGCCAGCCGCCGCCGUAAAAC